rnacentral:rRNA from 1 species
GAUGAACGCUGGCGGCGUGCUUAACACAUGCAAGUAGAACGCUGAAGGCGGAGCUUGCUCUGCUGGAUCAGUGGCGAACGGGUGAGUAACACGUGAGCAAUCUGCCCCUGACUCUGGGAUAAGCGCUGGAAACGGCGUCUAAUACUGGAUACGAGCAGCGAUGGCAUCUUCUGCAGCUGAAAAGAGCUUCGGUCAGGGAUGAGCGUGCGGCUUAUCAGCUUGUUGGUGAGGUAACGGAUCCCCAAGGCGUCGACGGGUAGCCGGCCUGGGAGGGUGACCGGCCACACUGGGACAGAGAAGCGGCCCGUACGGAUACGGGAGGAAGCGGUGGGGAAUAGUGCACAAUGGGCGGAAGCCUGAUGCAACAACGCCGCGUGGGGGAGGACGGCUGUCGGGUUGGAAACCGCGUUUGGCAGGGAAGAAGCGAAAGUGACGGUACCUGAAGAAAAAGCGCCGGCUAACUACGUG